AGUGGGGAAUAUUGGACAAUGGGCGAAAGCCUGAUCCAGCAAUGCCGCGUGAGUGAUGAAGGCCUUAGGGUUGUAAAGCUCUUUUACCCGGGAUGAUAAUGACAGUACCGGGAGAAUAAGCUCCGGCUAACUCCGUGCCAGCAGCCGCGGUAAUACGGAGGGAGCUAGCGUUGUUCGGAAUUACUGGGCGUAAAGCGUACGUAGGCGGCUUUGUAAGUAAGAGGUGAAAGCCUGGAGCUCAACUCCAGAACUGCCUUUUAGACUGCAUCGCUUGAAUCCUGGAGAGGUGAGUGGAAUUCCGAGUGUAGAGGUGAAAUUCGUAGAUAUUCGGAAGAACACCAGUGGCGAAGGCGGCUCACUGGACAGGUAUUGACGCUGAGGUACGAAAGCGUGGGGAGCAAACAGGAUUAGAUACCCUGGUAGUCCACGCCGUAAACGAUGAUAACUAGCUGUCUGGGUACUUGGUACUUAGGUGGCGCAGCUAACGCAUUAAGUUAUCCGCCUGGGGAGUACGGUCGCAAGAUUAAAAC
rnacentral:rRNA from 1 species